CAAUCCGUGCCAGUAAUAUAUCCACUUAAUAUGAUACUUUGCUGAAUGCAUAAUGGUUUAAAAGCUUAAUUCAAUUUCAUUAUAGUACCACCUGGGGCAUCUUAUCGGCCGUCGAGUAAGUUAAUGAUCUUUCAAUUAAUUCCCAGGCAGUAUUUGCACUGGCACUUUAUUUGCUUCGCAGAAUUGCCCGAGUGCGCUGCACUCGAUUACUUAUUCACCCAUUAAUUCAGGCAAACACAGCCUCCGCCGCCCAACACCCACUGCACACAUGAGCAGACAUAAGCACGUUAUAAUUAUAACAUAUUAAUUAAAUAAAGUGCACUUCCGCUGUCAUUAACACAGCUCGCGCCAGAGCUCAGAGCCAGCUCAUCAUAAUAGCUCGACUAAGCUGGGAUGCCAACCUUACGGCAUUGUUUGGUGCCAGGAGCAGCAAACAGACAACAAGCUGGAUGCAUCUGCAUCAGGAGUCAAACCGAGGGCGAGGUCACUACACCACCCGGCGGGCGGCCAAAGCUAGUUUAUGGUCAACUAGCCGGCCCCUAAGUCCACUCCCGCCGGAGCUUCGGGGCUCCAACACGUGUGGGCAAGUCCCAGAUGAUCCCCAUCACCGGAAUGAAGUGUUGUCACCGGAGGAGCUGGCUGUGAUUGCGCAAUCACUGGCUAUCGCUAGCAAAAAGGGUUGAAUGAAUUGUUAUAAACGGGAUGGGUUCAUAAAUAUUAU
ensembl:ncRNA lncRNA:CR44452 long non-coding RNA:CR44452